UUGCUCCAGCAGCAGAUGCACCAAAGCUGGAAUGACACAAAGAUUAAUUAGCAUGGCUGCUGCACAAAAAUGACACCCAUAUUCAUGAAGCACUUCAUACUUUU
ensembl:snRNA U6 U6 spliceosomal RNA